rnacentral:rRNA from 1 species
ACGUGAGUAACCUGCCCUUGACUCUGGGAUAAGCCUGGGAAACUGGGUCUAAUACCGGAUAUGACCUUCCAUCGCAUGGUGGUUGGUGGAAAGCUUUUGUGGUUUUGGAUGGACUCGCGGCCUAUCAGCUUGUUGGUGGGGUAAUGGCCUACCAAGGCGACGACGGGUAGCCGGCCUGAGAGGGUGACCGGCCACACUGGGACUGAGACACGGCCCAGACUCCUACGGGAGGCAGCAGUGGGGAAUAUUGCACAAUGGGCGCAAGCCUGAUGCAGCGACGCCGCGUGAGGGAUGACGGCCUUCGGGUUGUAAACCUCUUUCAGUAGGGAAGAAGCGUAAGUGACGGUACCUGCAGAAGAAGCGCCGGCUAACUACGUGCCAGCAGCCGCGGUAAUACGUAGGGCGCAAGCGUUAUCCGGAAUUAUUGGGCGUAAAGAGCUCGUAGGCGGUUUGUCGCGUCUGCCGUGAAAGUCCGGGGCUCAACUCCGGAUCUGCGGUGGGUACGGGCAGACUAGAGUGAUGUAGGGGAGACUGGAAUUCCUGGUGUAGCGGUGAAAUGCGCAGAUAUCAGGAGGAACACCGAUGGCGAAGGCAGGUCUCUGGGCAUUAACUGACGCUGAGGAGCGAAAGCAUGGGGAGCGAACAGGAUUAGAUACCCUGGUAGUCCAUGCCGUAAACGUUGGGCACUAGGUGUGGGGGACAUUCCACGUUUUCCGCGCCGUAGCUAACGCAUUAAGUGCCCCGCCUGGGGAGUACGGCCGCAAGGCUAAAACUCAAAGGAAUUGACGGGGGCCCGCACAAGCGGCGGAGCAUGCGGAUUAAUUCGAUGCAACGCGAAGAACCUUACCAAGGCUUGACAUGAACCGGAAAGACCUGGAAACAGGUUCCCCACUUGUGGUCGGUUUACAGGUGGUGCAUGGUUGUCGUCAGCUCGUGUCGUGAGAUGUUGGGUUAAGUCCCGCAACGAGCGCAACCCUCGUUCUAUGUUGCCAGCACGUGAUGGUGGGGACUCAUAGGAGACUGCCGGGGUCAACUCGGAGGAAGGUGGGGACGACGUCAAAUCAUCAUGCCCCUUAUGUCUUGGGCUUCACGCAUGCUACAAUGGCCGGUACAAAGGGUUGCGAUACUGUGAGGUGGAGCUAAUCCCAAAAAGCCGGUCUCAGUUCGGAUUGGGGUCUGCAACUCGACCCCAUGAAGUCGGAGUCGCUAGUAAUCGCAGAUCAGCAACGCUGCGGUGAAUACGUUCCCGGGCCUUGUACACACCGCCCGUCA